AUUGAACGCUGGCGGCAGGCCUAACACAUGCAAGUCGAGCGGAUGAAGGGAGCUUGCUCCUGGAUUCAGCGGCGGACGGGUGAGUAAUGCCUAGGAAUCUGCCUGGUAGUGGGGGAUAACGUCCGGAAACGGGCGCUAAUACCGCAUACGUCCUGAGGGAGAAAGUGGGGGAUCUUCGGACCUCACGCUAUCAGAUGAGCCUAGGUCGGAUUAGCUAGUUGGUGGGGUAAAGGCCUACCAAGGCGACGAUCCGUAACUGGUCUGAGAGGAUGAUCAGUCACACUGGAACUGAGACACGGUCCAGACUCCUACGGGAGGCAGCAGGGGGGAAUAUUGGACAAAGGGCGAAAGCCUGAUCCAGCCAUGCCGCGUGUGUGAAGAAGGUCUUCGGAUUGUAAAGCACUUUAAGUUGGGAGGAAGGGCAGUAAGUUAAUACCUUGCUGUUUUGACGUUACCAACAGAAUAAGCACCGGCUAACUUCGUG
rnacentral:rRNA from 1 species